CUAUCAAAACAGUAAGUGAACACCGGCGUAAAAAACUGUCCUACGAAAAUCUGAAUCGUCGGGAGACUUUCGUCAGCUGGAGAUUAUGUUAUAGAAAAAAUGUUGUCAAUUUUAAUGAUAUGCUCCCUCAAUUUUCUCCGUUCAUUAUUGUCCACAGAUAGAUGAGGAUGGGGAGAAUGGUGUUUCGAUAAAUAACCUUUUUCCCUUUUCUUUUUCUUCGUCGUCUGUGGUCAUGGUGACAACAUACAGUGCUGCUUUCUCUUUCGGAGUUCAUCUCUUAUCAAUUGCUCUUACAUUUCGUUUGCUGGAUUCUGUAUGUCUGCAGGUUGACAGUUUGCUUGGUGCUGGGUCGUAGUGGUUCUUUAGAGCAUGAAGCUGCCAGAAGAACGCGAAACGAGUUCAUGGCAGCAUCUUCAUGGGAUGGAUCGAGAUCAAAAGAUAAGCUAGAGAUUAGAGAAUCCUCAUCCUUGGUUCCACAAAAGAGACCAUUUGAUCUAGAUUUUUCUGUAAUCCGCCAUUUAUCCAAAAGACAAGAUUGCUUUUUUCUCUUUCGAGUAUCAUAGGCGUAUCUGGUGGUUUUAGACAUCAACCACUCUCCUCCCUCCCUGUGUCCUCUUGUCAUUGUCAAGAGUCUUACCUUAUUGCCAACUAAAAAUAGCCUCAUG
rnacentral:lncRNA from 1 species